UGAUCAUGGCUCAGAUUGAACGCUGGCGGCAGGCCUAACACAUGCAAGUCGAGCGGAAACGAGUUAWCWGAACCUUCGGGGRASGAUARCGGCGUCGAGCGGCGGACGGGUGAGUAAUGCCUAGGAAAUUGCCCUGAUGUGGGGGAUAACCAUUGGAAACGAUGGCUAAUACCGCAUGAUGCCUACGGGCCAAAGAGGGGGACCUUCGGGCCUCUCGCGUCAGGAUAUGCCUAGGUGGGAUUAGCUAGUUGGUGAGGUAAGGGCUCACCAAGGCGACGAUCCCUAGCUGGUCUGAGAGGAUGAUCAGCCACACUGGAACUGAGACACGGUCCAGACUCCUACGGGAGGCAGCAGUGGGAAUAUUGCACAAUGGGCGCAAGCCUGAUGCAGCCAUGCCGCGUGUGUGAAGAAGGCCUUCGGGUUGUAAAGCACUUUCAGUCGUGAGGAAGGUAGUGUAGUUAAUAGCUGCAUUAUUUGACGUUAGCGACAGAAGAAGCACCGGCUAACUCCGUGCCAGCAGCCGCGGUAAUACGGAGGGUGCG
rnacentral:rRNA from 1 species